UACGUAGGGCGCGAGCGUUGUCCGGAAUCAUUGGGCGUAAAGAGCUCGUAGGCGGCCGGUUGCGUCUGCUGUGAAAUCCCGGGGCUUAACCCCGGGCGUGCAGUGGAUACGGGCUGGCUGGAGGCAGGCAGGGGAGAAUGGAAUUCCCGGUGUAGCGGUGAAAUGCGCAGAUAUCGGGAGGAACACCGGUGGCGAAGGCAGCUCGCUGGGACGGUACUGACGCUGAGGCGCGAAAGCGUGGGGAGCAAACA
rnacentral:rRNA from 1 species